rnacentral:lncRNA from 1 species
UUUAAUUAUUAUUUUUAAACUGGCCGGUUCCGAUCCAACCGGGUGGUUAACGGUUAGAUCACCUGCUCUCUCUCUCUCUAAACAAAAAUGUCAGCUGUUGUCCCAAAAUUGAAUCAAAAUGAUGUCCCUAUCCAGUCCCACAUUUGGAAGCCUGUUGAAUUUAAGAGUAUACAAUCGGAUAUUGAAUUUUCUACCCAUCAUUUUGCGUGAUCAGAGUACGUAAGCACAAUAUCAAGAGCAAUAAUUAAAAAGAUGAGUGCCCACAAAGUACUCUCAACAAUAAAUAAUAAACUUUGAAUCUUAGUUAAUCAUCUAUAAUUAUG